rfam:Oryza glaberrima chromosome 2 Oglab02_0339_1, whole genome shotgun sequence.
AAUAUAUGACGCCGUUGACUUUUGUCGAACAUUUGACCAUUCGUUUUAUUCAAAAAAUUUAUAUAAUUAUUAUUUAUUUUAUUGUGACUUGAUUCAUCAUCAAAUGUUAUUUAAGUAUGACAUAAAUAUUUUCAUAUUUAUAUAAAAUUUUUGAAUAAAACGAAUAGUCAAACGUUGGUCGAAAAAUCAAUGGCGUCAUACAUU